rnacentral:rRNA from 1 species
CAUGCCGUAAACGUUGGGUGCUAGACGUGGGGGCCUUUCCACGGUUUCCGUGUCGUAGCUAACGCAUUAAGCACUCCGCCUGGGGAGUACGACCGCAAGGUUGAAACUCAAAGGAAUUGACGGGGGCCCGCACAAGCGGUGGAGCAUGUGGUUUAAUUCGAAGCAACGCGAAGAACCUUACCAGGUCUUGACAUCCCGAUGACCGCUCUAGAGAUAGAGUUUUCCCUUCGGGGACAUUGGUGACAGGUGG